GGGCAAGAGGCGGGCAAGCAGUCCUCUCCAGGCACAAGUGGCGAAGGGCACUUCGUCACAGAGGAUGUGAGCAGAAGGAGCUGUAUUAUCACGUGAUGGUAUAUAGAGAAUGUGAGCAGAAGGAGCUGUAGAGAUUGUGCGCAGAAGGAGCUGUAUUAUCAUGUGAUGGUAUAUAGAGGAUGUGUGCAGAAGGAGCUGUAUUAUCACGUGAUGGUAUAUAGAGGAUGUGUACAGAAGGAGCUGUAUUAUCACGUGAUGGUAUAUAGAGAAUGUGUGCAGAAGGAGCUGUAUUAUCACGUGAUGGUAUAUAAAGGAUGUGUGCAGAAGGAGCUGUAUUAUCACGUGAUGGUAUAUAGAGAAUGUGGCGAAACCGACCUCGCCACUGGGCAUUAGAGAAGACUGAUUGCCAGCCUCCUGCCAUGUGACUAUGGCCCCUGGGAUGUAUUGCCCUUU